rnacentral:rRNA from 1 species
CCUACGGGGGGCAGCAGUGAGGAAUAUUGGUCAAUGGACGAGAGUCUGAACCAGCCAAGUCGCGUGAAGGAUGACUGCCCUAUGGGUUGUAAACUUCUUUUAUAUGGGAAUAAAACGUUCCACGUGUGGGAUUUUGUAUGUACCAUAUGAAUAAGCAUCGGCUAACUCCGUGCCAGCAGCCGCGGUAAUACGGAGGAUCCGAGCGUUAUCCGGAUUUAUUGGGUUUAAAGGGAGCGUAGGUGGAUUGUUAAGUCAGUUGUGAAAGUUUGCGGCUCAACCGUAAAAUUGCAGUUGAAACUGGCAGUCUUGAGUACAGUAGAGGUGGGCGGAAUUCGUGGUGUAGCGGUGAAAUGCUUAGAUAUCACGAAGAACUCCGAUUGCGAAGGCAGUUCACUGGACUGCAACUGACACUGAGGCUCGAAAGUGUGGGUAUCAAACAGGAUUAGAUACCCUUGUAGUC